rnacentral:rRNA from 1 species
AUUGAACGCUGGCGGCAUGCUUUACACAUGCAAGUCGAACGGCAGCGCGGGCUUCGUCCUGGCGGCGAGUGGCGAACGGGUGAGUAAUGCAUCGGAACGUGCCCAGCAGUGGGGGAUAGCCCGGCGAAAGCCGGAUUAAUACCGCAUACGACCUGAGGGUGAAAGCGGGGGACCGAAAGGCCUCGCGCUAUUUGAGCGGCCGAUGUCGGAUUAGCUAGUUGGUGGGGUAAAUGCUUACCAAGGCGACGAUCCGUAGCUGGUCUGAGAGGACGACCAGCCACACUGGGACUGAGACACGGCCCAGACUCCUACGGGAGGCAGCAGUGGGGAAUUUUGGGCAAUGGGGGCAAGCCUGAUCCAGCCAUGCCGCGUGCGGGAAGAAGGCCUUCGGGUUGUAAACCGCUUUUGUUCGGGAAGAAAUCCUCUGGGCUAAUACCCCGGGGGGAUGACGGUACCGGAAGAAUAAGCACCGGCUAACUACGUG